AUUGAACGCUGGCGGCAGGCCUAACACAUGCAAGUCGAACGGUAACAGGAAACAGCUUGCUGUUUCGCUGACGAGUGGCGGACGGGUGAGUAAUGUCUGGGAAACUGCCUGAUGGAGGGGGAUAACUACUGGAAACGGUAGCUAAUACCGCAUAACGUCGCAAGACCAAAGAGGGGGACCUUCGGGCCUCUUGCCAUCGGAUGUGCCCAGAUGGGAUUAGCUAGUAGGUGGGGUAACGGCUCACCUAGGCGACGAUCCCUAGCUGGUCUGAGAGGAUGACCAGCCACACUGGAACUGAGACACGGUCCAGACUCCUAUGGGAGGCAGCAGUGGGGAAUAUUGCACAAUGGGCGCAAGCCUGAUGCAGCCAUGCCGCGUGUAUGAAGAAGGCCUUCGGGUUGUAAAGUACUUUCAGCGGGGAGGAAGGGAGUAAAGUUAAUACCUUUGCUCAUUGACGUUACCCGCAGAAGAAGCACCGGCUAACUCCGUG
rnacentral:rRNA from 1 species